AUCAAUCUGACGAGUCCCAAAUAGGACGAAACGCGCGUCCUGGAU
rnacentral:hammerhead_ribozyme from 1 species